rnacentral:rRNA from 1 species
UACGUAGGGUGCGAGCGUUGUCCGGAAUUAUUGGGCGUAAAGAGCUCGUAGGCGGCUUGUCGCGUCGGCCGUGAAAACUCGGGGCUUAACCCCAAGCCUGCGGUCGAUACGGGCAGACUUGAGUUCGGCAGGGGAGACUGGAAUUCCUGGUGUAGCGGUGAAAUGCGCAGAUAUCAGGAGGAACACCGGUGGCGAAGGCGGGUCUCUGGGCCGAUACUGACGCUGAGGAGCGAAAGCGUGGGGAGCAAACAGG